CGAAGUGACGUGACAUGAAGAUGACUAAAACUACUAUACAAUGAAACGGACAUUCAUCGCACGAAUAGAUAUUUCUAGGAGCCUUUCCCCGAGUUUUUAGUGGUCGUCCUAUUCAAAGUGCGCCACUCGUUCGUAGCCAUUUUCAUCAAGAUACAUGCGGCGUCAGUGACCUCGUCGACAUCUGUGGUAUCAUCUGCGACCUCAUCUUCGGAAGAAGGGUCUUUGGUUACUCCGUGCUGUUUGACAUUCAAAGCUGGAAACUUGUUUUUAUGGGGACUCUGAGGACCUGAAUUACUGGCGGGUGAUCCGGAUGGACAUCUUAUGGGUCUCGGAAAACCGUGCUCUGCUCUCUACGACGUUACAGACAAUUUUUCCCCUCCCAUCUACUGCGUCAACGUUUGUUCUCCAUAAACUAGUUCCUUUCUGUCCUUCUCUUCAUACACCCACAGUUGGCGCAGCGCCCGGGUCUCAACACGCGUCGCUUCUUAGCCCUUUCCUCUAGAGUGGGCGGGGAGAUUGGGGUCGACAGCCUUUUCAUCCCGGCCGCUGAUAUUUUAACGAUCCUAGAGGGUUUAUUGGUAAAGCUUCUAAGCUCAAUCUGGUUCUCUGUCCGUCAACGAUUUUGAUACUAGAUUGAUUGUUUGUUUGUUUAUUUGUAGUGCUUUGAAGAAUGGACUUAUUAAGUGACUUAUUGCCACCAUGAACAUGAUUAAGGCUGCGCCUC
rnacentral:sRNA from 1 species